GGUCUUCUAGAUGGAUCUGCCAUUUCUUGAUCCAUUCUCUUCCACACUCUCGUACAGCUAGCAUCCUCUCACAUCUACCUAACCUUAUCUCUCUAUCUGUUCAGACAAAAAACCCCAUCUCCGACAGUAGAACUCGUCAUCUGCCAUUACAGUGUUGAGAUCUUCUUUAAUUCGUAGAAGAUCUCAACCCCUAAACCGAUUGCAGUAAGAUCUGAUUAGGGUUCAUUUGUGAAAACCACACUGAGAUCGGUUUAGUUGUUGUUCGAGGAUCUCAACUAUUAAUCUCCGAUCUUGGUUUUUAGAAUCGGAUCGGCAUUUUUAAGGUUCUAACGUCAAGCUUCGUAUCUCAAUCUUCAAUUACUAUCCUAUUCGACUACAUCAGAUGUAAGAUCAAGCAGAUCAGAAAAUGGGUCCGUACGGUGUUCAUGACUUAGAUGCAGAUUAAAGGACUGAAAUGCAAGAUAAGUUUAACAGUACAAAUUUGUUUGUCUAAAUUCUUAUCUUAGAAUAUUUAACAUAUUCUAGAUCUUUAAUUUGUUUUUGUAUUAUUGUCUAUAUACCUAACAUCAGACAUUAUUGGCUUCUGAGUAUUCCUAGGAUAUUAUACACUAACCAAAUGAUACCUAAUUUAAUUGCAGAGGUGUAGUUGUUAGAUCUAUAUCUACACAUUCAAAGGUGGGAAGGUAAGGAGGCAUCAACGGAGUUCAAUAGGUGUAAAUUUGUGCAAUGAACAAAAAAUUCUUAGUUCACCGGAUUCGUCAGAAAGUUUUCUGUUACAUCCCGGUGACAUGCAAGAAAUGUACAUCCAUCCGAAAGAACCUUCAAUUGCAACAAUUUCAGCCGAUUAGAUAUUGUAGUUACAGUCAAAGCACCCCUGGUAAAGUCAUCUAGGCCUGCUGAUUGAGACAGCACUGUUGCUGUACUUAUACUGCGCAAAGGACUGUUUGGAGCAGUUAACCUACAGGUGAUACGAACUGAAGAUAAGGUGGAGUGGGGAGUGGAUGCCUCCAUAGUCAUAUGCUUAUAUACAAUGUAAUACUGCAUUUCAAAAUCUAUGAUGUUAUCUUGGAAGUAUGAAUGCUGCGGACGACCUUUCAGUUUUCAAGAGCAUGGUGAUCAGACUUGAGUCUCUUUAUUAUGAGUGUAUUUAUAUUUAUUUAUUCGAGAUUUGAGAAGUAUGUUUUCGAAGAAGUCUUUAAUAUAAAGAGUCUCUUUAGAAGUCUGUAACUAAUAGAAGUCUAUUUAAAAUGCUUUAUUUUAGUUGGUAUUACCAAAAA